UGGGGUUGUGUUGCCCUUGUCUUAUCAUGCCCUAGCACACGCCAUGGUUUCUAUACCCACACAUGUGGACGUUGCAAUCGAUGCUCAUCAUGGUGGUGGAGAGAAGAAAAUACAGACUACACAAAACUCCGAGCAAAUGACAAUGGAAGUAGGUUUUGUUGGCACUAUCAAUGAUAAUGAUAACACCGAUACCAGCAGACUCCAUUACACAGAACAUGAAGAAGUGGCAGAUGAAGCACCAUAUAAGUUAGAUGAUAAACUUGCCCAAACUUUGAUCGUUCCUCGUGUUGGAAUGGCUUUUGAAUCAGAGAACAAAGCAUGUGAGAUGUAUAACACCUAUGCUGGAAAGAUUGGGUCCAGUGUCAGAAAGAGCCAGAUCAAGCGUCGAUCAGAUGGAACUAUAUAUAAGAAUAUAUAGUUUGUUGUAACCAGCGACAACGAGAAACUGAGUCAUCACAUGACACUACUAGAACGGGUUGCAAUGCUUGUGUUCAGUUUAGUGUUUGUCGAAGUGGAUUUUGGACAGUUCAAAACGUUGUACUUGAACACAAUCAUUAUCUUGUUAGUCCAAAUAAGUCGCAUAAGUUGAGGUCCCAAUGACGUGUUGUAGAGGCAUAUAGGCAGUUAAUUGAUCAGAUACGGGAAGCCGGCAUGAAGCCUGCUUAAGUGUAUGAGUUAAUGGAGGAGUGGUAUGGAGGAGCUGACAAAGUGCCAUUCUCAAAGAUGGAUUGCAACAAUGAGGUCGUGAGCGCAAGAAGUACUUAGAAUCGAAUGACACACAAGCACUAGUAGAAUAUUUCAAGAAUAAGAAGAUUGAGGAUCCUGCAUUUUUAUGCCAUUCAAAUAGACAAGGAAGAUGAACGGAUAGCUAAUUUCUUUUGGGCAGAUGGUCAACCUAUUAUGGAUUAUGCAUGCUUUGGUGAUGCCCUGUCAUUUGACACCACUUUUGAUACUGAUAAGUUUGAAAUGCCUUUUGCUCCACUACUUGGGGCGAACCAUCACAAGCAGACAAUAAUUUUUGGUGUUGCCCUAUUUUUUAAUCAAAGUAUUCAAUCAUUUGUUUGGCUAUUUGAAACCUUUCUAACAGCAAUGUCGGCAAGCAUCCAAGCACAAUUUUCACUGAUCAAGACGCAGCUAUUGCAGCAGCGAUUGCUUUUAUAUUCCCAAGUACAAGCCAUCGUCUUUGCUUGUGGCAAAUUUAUCUAAAUGGGGGAAAACAUCUCAGUCAUGUCAUUCAUGAGCAUCCAAAUAAGUUUCUAGCUGAUUUUAAGAGAUGUGUCUAUGAAGAUAGAUAAGAGGAUUACUUCAAUAAGAUGUGGCAUGACUUGUUAAGUGAAUAUAAGCUUGAGGAGAACGCAUGGAUGUCAAAUCUUUAUAAUUUGAGGGGGGAAGUGGGCUAUUGUCUUCCUUGACUCUUUUACACCUGAUAUGACCUCGACUCAAAGGAGCGAAGGUAUGAAUAAUGUGUCCAACAAAAGGUUUCGUAGGAAACUCGGUCUAUCGGAACUCCUUGUGGAAUGUGAGAAGGUUGCCACCAGUCUCCAGGAAAAUGAGUUGGAUGCAGAUUUUAAGUCACGACACUUGAAUCCAAUAACUUACACCCAAAAUUUACCUAUGUUGAGGACUGCGGUUAAAUCAUAUACGAGGCAGAUGUAUUUUGGAGUUUGAAAAAGAGUUUAAAAACCAAUUUUCAUUGUCAUGUAAAUUGUUACAAACUGAGGGGUCAAUCUUGACCUUUAUGGUUAUGCCUAUGGAGUCUGCUCAUGAAGCAACAAUUAUAUUCAACACUGGAGAUGUGACAAUUACAUGUUCUUGUAGAAAGUAUGAAUCGUUGGUACACUGUGCAAGCAUGCCCUUAGAGUCCUCAAUGUGAAUGAUGUUUUCAUUUUGUCAUCUCAAUAUAUACUCAAUAGAUGGACAAAAUAUGCGAAAAGAGGAUUUUCUAUUGAGAAACAAGGAAGCAGCGAGAAGGAAACUUUGAAGAUACAUGCUGCACGUAUCUCUCGAAAGGCGACAUCCAUGGCAUUGAAGUGUUCCAUAUCAAAAGAACUUCUUGAUGAUUUAGAACAAGCCAUAAAUAAGUUGGACUUGGAAGUAGAUAGUUCUAUAAUCAAGAUGCAAGAAAAAUCCCAUGAGGUUCAUGUAGUUUCAUUUGAUUGUGUUGGACAUACAUUAAAUGGUGAAAUAUCGUUUAGAGUUCCUCAGGUGGUGAAGGGCCCAAAGAGUAGACGAUCGAAAGAUGUCGUCGAAAAGAAGAAAGGGAAGAAAACAAGAGGUGCUCCAGAGAAAGGUGAUGCUCUUAUUCAUUAUAUGUUGUUCUAGUUGAUUUUUUUUUUUGCCCUCUUUUAUCUUAUAUUUCUAAUCUAUAGGAAAAGAUGCAAAUAGUACAGCAGAAAAUAUAGAGGAUGGUGCUGAAUGUAAGACAUAUUGCUUAGACUGAUAAUUCUCUUUUCAUAAUUUAUUUACUUACAAGCAAUAAUUUGAUAAUUUUUGACACACGGAAUUCAUGUUGGUUCCACUGAAGAUAACAGUAUAGUGUCAAACUUUGGAAAUUAUGUGUGUGGGCAAUCUUCCACCAUUGCUCCUCCUCAUCUCCAAGGCGGAUAUACAAGUCUUUUACUUGGAGUUCAACAAAAUUCAACAUUGUUUUUAUCUGCUAAAAAGUUAUAUUUUGAUGAAUAACAUUUGAUGUAACCUAU